CGGAUUUCUCUCUAAAGGUGAAGAAAAAGAAGUGGGCGAACACUCGGCCCAGCGGGCGAACAUGCCGGCUCCGGCUCCGCGCACCUGCUGACACCUUUCGAAGCACUUUCACGUGUGAACCGAAGUCGUCUUGCCGAACUCCUUCCUUUCUCAUUUCAGUCCUCGCCUUUUUCAUCUUCCGUAGGGGCCUUUAGUCUUUUGAUUAGAGUGGAGGUCGCGAGAGAGCAGAGCGUACCGCCCUGCCAUAGUCGCGAGGAUCUUAAUAGUCGGUCGCGACUGUUGUCAUAGUCAACGACG
rnacentral:rRNA from 1 species